GGAUUGGACACGGAUUUAAUGUCGAGCCUUAGGAAAAAUAUUUUAUAUAUAUAUUUUUUUUAACAUUUGAAAUAUUUAAAAAAUUUGGGCUUUCGGCUUUGGGCUCUCCACAUUGGCCCUCGAUGCGCUCGUUCUCUCAAGUAUCUCAAAAUAAAGCCGGCAGCAAAACGGCCGCAUUUUGGCAGUUAGUAUAUUCUCUUAUCUCACCUUUCCGUUUUCGACGCUCUGGCUAGUUCCGUCAAAAGAAGACUGUUUUCUGAUCAACCUAUGGGAACCGUAGAUGAAGUUGUGGAGAUUGAUAGUUUAGAAAAGGGUUUACUGACGGAAUCGCGUGGUGGUGUCGCUAGCGACGAAAGUCAAUGUAACGAUGAGACGGUGCUUUAUGCGGCGUCGUUUGAAGAGAUGGAAGAGAAAUUUGUUAAGUAUCAAACUGCUCAAUGGGUUAUGUACUCGUUGAUGCUAAUGUUGGCUUGGGGAAUUGGAAUAUUCAUGCUUCUGUAUUUGCCCGUUCGGAGAUAUAUCUUGCGGAAAGAUAUACGGUCCAGAAAGCUCUAUCUCACUCCUCAUGCCAUUGUAUAUGAAGUUACAAAACCAGUAUCAUUUCCAUGUUUUGGGGUGUUAAAGAGAGAGAAGCAUGUUUUAUUAUCUUCAGUUGCAGACGUCAUAAUUGAGCAAGGAUAUUUGCAGUCUCUUUUUGGUGUCUACUCUUUGAGAAUUGAGAAUGCUGGUGUGAGAAGGUCGCCAAGUGAUGAUGUUCAAAUUCAAGGAAUUGGAAAUCCAAAUGCUUUCAAGAAGGCUGUCUUGACACGGCUAUCCAACAUGAGAAGUGAGCUUGGGUCUAAACACACAAUUGAAGACAUUUUGAGGAUAGGUCACUCAUCAUCAUCUUUGGUAUGGCAGAUGUCUCCAUUAAAAUCUCUCAAGCAUAAUUUGCCUCCUCAUUCAGGGAGCCUGAUGCUACUACAGAAACUAGAGGACGUUGAAAAUUCUGUGAAGAGAGUUCAAAUUUUAAUCGAGGAGCAACACUCUUAAUCAUUAGGACCAAUUGAUUAAGAGUACAAUCUGGAAACAUAAUUAGCACAAGCCAUUUUGCUGAAGAGAUGAUUUUCUCAAUGGUACAUCCUUUGAUGAGUCAAGUUCGGGGACUGGUUGUGGUUGUGGAUAACAACGGUUUCUUUGGUGUUUUGCGAUUUUGUUGGUUUUUCUUUACAUGCACAAGCUAGCAGUUGGUCUUCUUCCCGGGUGUUGCAGGUUUGUUGGUGGUCCCGUGAUCGGUGGUGUCCGAUGAUGGUGAUUCUUUUUUCACAGUCGUCGGUGGCCGUUUCAUUUGGCGGUGGACGUGCUGUUGGGCUAUAGGCUAUGGAUUGGCUAUUAUCCCUUGGUUGUAUGUUAUCUGACCUGACGUUUAUAUUUCUAUUAAUAAUAUUUUUUUUUCAUUAGUAUUCAAUUGUUAA